GUCUGAAAUUACGACUUCAUGAAGCUGGAAUUGCUAGUAAUGGCAGGUCAGCAUACUGCCGUGAAUACGUUCCCGGGCCUUGUACACACCGCCCGUCACACCAUGAGAGUUGGGGGAUACCCGAAGCCUGUGAGCCAACAUUUAUGAGGCAGCAGUCGAAGGUAGAAUCAAUGAUUGGGGGUGAAGUCGUAACAAGGUAGC
rnacentral:rRNA from 1 species